UUCCUAGUGGAACAUUUCUGCAUGGACUAGACCAUAGAAAUAGUGUGUAGAAACACUUCUGCUGCAUG
rnacentral:pre_miRNA from 2 species